rnacentral:tRNA from 1 species
CAGGCUGUAGCUAAGAAGUAAAGCGUCCCCCUUACACUGAGAAGUCACCCGUGCAAUCCGGGUCGGCCUGA